AGAACGAACGCUGGCGGCGUGGAUAAGACAUGCAAGUCGAACGCUGAUUUGUGGGUAGCAAUAUUCGCAAGUCGGAGUGGCGCAAGGGUGCGUAACACGUGGGUAAUUUGCCGUGAAGCUUGGAAUAACUCGCUGAAAGGCGAGCUAAUGCCGGAUGUGAUUUCUGGAGGGCAUCCUCUGGAACUCAAAGCUGGGGACCGCAAGGCCUGGCACUUCACGAUAAGCCCGCGGCCUAUCAGCUAGUUGGUGAGGUAACGGCUCACCAAGGCUAAGACGGGUAGCUGGUCUGAGAGGACGACCAGCCACACUGGAACUGAGACACGGUCCAGACACCUACGGGUGGCAGCAGUCGAGAAUUUUUCGCAAUGGGCGAAAGCCUGAUGGAGCGACGCCGCGUGGGGGAUGAAUGGCUUCGGCCCGUAAACCCCUGUCAUUCGCGAACAAUGCCUGCGGCUUAAUACGUUGCAGGUUGAUAGUAGCGGAAGAGGAAGGGACGGCUAACUCUGUGCCAGCAGCCGCGGUAAUACAGAGGUCCCAAGCGUUGUUCGGAUUCACUGGGCGUAAAGGGUGCGUAGGUGGUCGGGUAAGUCUGACGUGAAAUCUCCGAGCUUAACUCGGAAACGGCGUCGGAUACUAUUCGGCUCGAGGGUUGGAGGGGGGACUGGAAUACUUGGUGUAGCAGUGAAAUGCGUAGAUAUCAAGUGGAACACCAGUGGCGAAGGCGAGUCCCUGGACAACUCCUGACGCUGAGGCACGAAAGCUAGGGGAGCAAACAGGAUUAGAUACCCUGGUAGUCCUAGCCGUAAACGGUGCACGUUUGCUGUAAGAGGAAUCGACCCCUUUUGUGGCGAAGCUAACGCGUUAAACGUGCCGCCUGGGAAGUACGGUCGCAAGAUUAAA
rnacentral:rRNA from 1 species